UACAGAGGUGGCAAGCGUUGUUCGGAAUUACUGGGCGUAAAGCGCGCGUAGGCGGCUUUGCAAGUCGGGUGUGAAAUCCCCAGGCUUAACCUGGGAACUGCAUUCGAGACUGCAUUGCUAGAGUAUGGGAGAGGGAAGUGGAAUUUCCGGUGUAGCGGUGAAAUGCGUAGAUAUCGGAAGGAACAUCAGUGGCGAAGGCGGCUACCUGGACUGACAUUGACGCUGAGGCGCGAGAGCGUGGGGAGCGAACAGG
rnacentral:rRNA from 1 species